UUGCAUUAUUCUCAUUUACCCAAAUUCACAUGUUAAUUUGUUGUUGACCACCACUCCAGUGGCCGAAUGCCGAAGUCCAAAAAUCUAUUUACUGUUCAUUUCUGGGACUGGGGUUUUCUGUUUCUUCCCCUUAUCUAAUUUCCAAUCUAAACAAGCAGCUUUUGUUUGUUAAAUACCUCAGGGUGUAAUUGAAAAAAAAAAAGGCGCACCUGCUGGUUCUGCAAGUAUCACAUCAACAUAAAGUUUUCAUGUGAUUUGGGAAAUGGAGUUCAAAGUUUCUCAUCAAGGUGUAAAACAGUCAGAGAAUAAGCCAUUAGGCCUGAGUGCCCUGACCUCAUUUAGGCUUAUGAACAUUAUGAGGCAGAUUAACCCUGCAACACACUUGAGCCUACAACGCAUGCAAAGGACCUGCGUGAACAAAUACUGGCUAAUCGUAUCCAAGGCCUAGUUCUCAUAGACGAGCUACUGCAUGUGAGGUUGCACCCUAUUUUAUUUUAAAAUAGAAAUAAUACAUGUUUUGUGUUUGAUGCGGAGGAGUAAAUUCUUCAUUAGAUCACCACUUAGGAUAAAAUAUUUCUAAACGCACUCCAAAAUACUGAAAUCUGGAUAGUUUUUUAUGGUAACAAGCAUUAACAAAAUGUGAAACCUUCAAUAACUGUUGCGACCAUCGUAUGGACUGAGGUCAAGUGUACAGUCCUAGGUUUUGGUAAUUUUGAAUUUGUGUGUUGUGGGCAUAAAACAUUUCUCUCCCCCAAAAUGUAGUCUAUUAACCCUUUCAGGGACAGCGGUUACUAGAGUGGACAGCUUAUCAUGUUAUCAGGUUACCGGUUACUUAGUAAUUUGUAGGGGUGUCCUGUUCUUAUAUUGAUAUCGUUUUGAUAUCAGCCCUCCCAAAAAUUAUUGUAUUAGAUCUGCUUACAUCCCAAAUAUCCGAUAUUAGCGCUCAUAAGCAAGCGGAAUACAUAAAAAAUUAUGCUGAAUAUACUGAAGUAAACAUGAGUCGUUAUUUUGCACUUCAAAGAGUAUAAUUUGUCCUUAUUGAAUUUAUUAGAGGUAUUUCUCAAGUGUCCUUAAAUUGAUUUUGUAUUUAUUUUAUUCACGUGAACAACAGUCUCAGGUUUGAGGUUGAAUUUAUAUAACCUAACACUAGUAAUUUUAUAAUUUGAGCCCUAUAUGAGUCCCGUUAUGCAUUUAGAGAGUCCCAAAUUUCGAAUUUAAUUGGUCUACUUAUUCAAUUGCAUAUGACAAUAACACAAACAACACCAUUGUACAUCGAUAAUAGGUUUAUUUCUUAUAAACAAAUGCUGCAAAAAUGUAAAUCAUUCCGGCAUACAAGAUUUGCUGAGGAAUAGGUUCUUAUUUCAUCCCAUGGUUCAGUCUUUGAGUUCAUAUCUCCGCAAUAAACUUUCACAACACUUGUAUUAACGUAUACAACUUGGCAAUUGUCUGCUUUCCACGAGGUGAAGGCCGAUCUCGCCAAUCUCGUCUCGCGAGAACGGAAAUCUCGUCACGCGAGAUCAAAACAACAGUGGCGGCGAUUGUCAAACUGCGAUCGUUGCUGGGAAAAAAAAAAACAUUUACUGUAGUUUUUUUUUUGACUGAGAUAUUUCCUUGCAUCCCAAAAACGCACAUUAUUUGGAACUGUGCAUCUGGCGGGAAAAUUAUGCGUCUAGAACGCUUGACGCAGAGGUAAUGAGAUGGCUGACCUAGGUGUUUGGAAUUCAUGGAUCAUAUUUUCUCAUACCUGCCUUUUUUUUUUUUUGGAAUAGUAACACUUGAUCAAGUCUCUGAGAACAUUUAAUACAAAAAUAAAAGGAUGUAACAUUCCUGCUGAUAUCGGACCGGUAUCAAAUCAGAGGUGGAAAACGGUGUAUUGGGACAUCCCUAGACCAGGGGUGCCCAAACCUCUUUGACCUAAGAUCUACUUUUCGAUCAACCAACCUCCCGAGAUCGACCCGUUACGUGCGCAGGUGCACGUACACACGCAUGCCAUGAUGAGCAAUAGCCUGACACUGAGGCAUGUAACGCACUUAGGCAGCCUGUUAACGCUCGUAGCUCACACGUACCAUUUUAAAAUGCUUCUCUCGGCCCUCCAGAUUCCCAUUCUUUGCCCAUCCCCUCAGUGAAUUGUACAAAACAAACUGAAUGAGAAUAAUGAUAACGAUAAAAGACAACUCUGAUCACAAGCUGCAACUGCAGACUGCUGAGCGCUAACAACUUCCAGUGACGCAGUCACACGCCACCGUAGUUUAAAGAUGACCCGCUUUAUUUUCUUUUUAAGAUACUUUUUGUGAAAGUGAGACUGAUAGAAUGAUUAGGGUGCAGUGUGCAUUAACACAAACAAUAUAUUACGAACAUGCACAGAGGCACAAAUGUUUGUUUUUUUUAUUCUCCACCUUGGAUCGACUUGGGACCAGUCCUUGAUAUACUGGUCGAUCGCGAUCACCGUAAUGGGCACCCCUGCCCUAGACAUGUGUGACAUUACUGUCAAAAAGUUUGCCAGUAGUUCCAGAUAUAUUUACAUGGCCAUGUGAGUCAUUUUAUAUCUGCAUCCCUUUUAUGACUUGUGACAGGUUGAUUAUAUAAAUUCAAGAAGUUGUUUGUUAAUGACUAUCUGUAAAUGAUGAUUGAUUAGACAGGGGGAUGAAACUCAAAAUACACAGUGUUAAAUAAUUAAAACAACUGAUCAGAUUUUGCUUUCAAGCCAGCGUCCGUGAACUUGAGCUGACAGGAGACAGUCAGGUAGUGGCCAUGGGCCACUGUUAAAUGUUCCACGAUUGCCGUCCAAAUUGAUUUGAUUAUGUUGGUCACCAUUUUUACCUCUGAAACAACAUGAAAUAUUUAUCAGGUUUCAACAUCUGUUUCAAAAGCUGAGUGUUGGCAAUAUUCACGUAAACACCCGCAAAAACCCAAGUACGAUAAUUUUUUUUUUUAAACCAGCUUAAGACCCCGAGUUUACCCCUUUACUAACCCGAACAGUUAGUCAUCUAAAAGUGUAGUGUAAUACAUCAAUUCGUUUGUGUUCUGCUCACGGGCUAUCUGCAAGGGACUUUGGUCUUUUACCUUAUUUAUUUUUUAGUGUUUACAAUUUCUUGCAGUCAGUCAACAAGCUGGUUUGUUGCAUGUGUAUUUUUAUUUUUAUUUUUUUGAGAAAUUGAACAGUGAUCCAAUUGAACAAUUUAGCUUGUGAUGAAUCUGCAGACAGGAAGCACAAAAUUACUCACAUUCCCCAAAUGGCCACGGCCUGAAUUGGCAGCCAGUUAACCUGGAACGCAGUUGAACUGUAACACUGCAGCCUGCACAAUGUAAGAUGCAUGGUAUUUAACUGUGCGGCCAACCUACUGUCGUCACGAUAAAAUAGCAGAUUUACGGCAGGGCAAGAAUUCCUCACUCUGGUGAUUGACCAGUCAUAGCCGCUCAUGGUAAAAUAACAGGAGCAGGAGAGUUGCCAUGGCAAAAUAACUACUGCCAUUUAAAUUUGGCUCAAAAGGCUAAGCGGUUCACAAAAUUGUAGGUUGGAAGAACACCCUGGGUGCUGCCGCUCAACAUCGUACAGCGAGGGAUCCUGUCGGUUAAAGUAUGUUUGAUUAAACUAAAGGUUGAUGCUGUGGUGCCGUGAGCAUGUUGGUAUAGUUUAAAAAAAGUGAAUUUGUCAAAAGGUAAACGAACAUUAAGUGCGGAUUUGGCCCUUCAGGCCAACCUAGAGAACCAGGCUCGUAGACACUUCAGUGCAAGAUGAAAUUGUAUCCAAUUUUUCAAUUUAUCAACGGAAUAGUUAAUAGAAGAAGUGAUUCAAAAAUAUUUGAUGGAGAAUAAGUGAUUCAAAAAAUAUUUGAUGGUGACAGCCCGAGUGUGCUGUGACCAUGCAUCCACCACUGAACACAACAAAUUAGUGAGAAUAUCAUGACAAUUCUACAUGGAUAAAUGGAAAUGCAAUUAAUCGAUUCCAACUCCAGAACAAAGUUAUAUUUAUCUUAUUUCUGCUGGUCUAUUGUUAAAACAAAUACAGCACACUAUAGAAAUAAGUGAUAAUAACCUUUGCUAUCAAUAAAUACAAUUACCGUUCAACGCCUUCACCUUUCUUCAUAUAGUACUUCAUGUUUUGGGUACUUUGUUGCAUUAUGGGAUUUGGUGGCCAUUUUGGGACAGGAGGAGUAUCCACGGUGAACGUAAACAAGACUGUGGAGUCCUUCAGAGUGAAAACCAGAAACUUAAAAUGCACGAAAGACAAGAGGAUUUACAGGGACACAUUGUACCACGAAGCCUUGCCAUCACAAUUGUAAGAGAGCUCUCGUACUGUGGCCAAAGUUCCACCCUUGGAGGACUUUGUCCACUUUUAGCAUGGUUAACACUCGCUGGCUGGGACAGGUGCUGCCUCCUUGAGACCACGAGCUAAUCGCUCCUCCUUCCACAGUGUGAGAGCUGUGGGAGGCUCCAGGCUUCUUCCUGCAUCCAUCGAGGAUCCAGGUUUUUUUUUAAGUGUCUCUUUAUGUGUGUUAACAUUUUCUUUUGGUAUUGAGAACACCUCUACCCAAAUUUAUUAGUUAUUACAAUAGUACAGGUGGUAUAUUGUACCAACCUGAACUGCCCAGGGAGUUCAAAAACACGAUUUCCAUGUUUCACUAUUGUUUUACUGCUUUUCAACAGUAUGACAAUUAGUAGGGGUGUUCCUAUGAGGGUUUUAUGCUGCACACUCCGAUAUUGAUCAUCCGUGGGUGUGAUCGUUUGGUAUGGAUUCCGUUAGUGGUUCUUUUACUGAUCACACAGAUUUGCUACAGUUUUCAAUUUCACUGCUUCUCAACAACAACUUCUCAUCAAUCACAACUUUGUUCUGAUUGAUGAAUGAGAUAAAAAAAAAACGAAUCCAUAUUUCCAUCCCUUCAUUAUAUAAAACAACCUAUUUCAAAUUGACAAGAAAGAGAAUGCACUCAAAUAUAUAUUUCAUUUACUGGUUUUGUCUGUAACGUGCAAUGUGACGGCAAGGGGGAGUGAGCGCAACACAGCCUUGUCUCUAGUUGACUGCAGGCUGCAAAAUAUGAGCUCCAUGCAAUCAGUUUUUCUGACAUACUGAUCACAGUACCGUAUUUUCACGACCAUUCGGCGCAUCGUAUGGUUGGGCGCAGUCUCAUUAAUGGGUGCCAUUUCUGUAUUUUACACAUAGACAAACCGCACUGUAUUAUUGGGUGCAGUUUUACAGUCUUAAAACAUAGGCCAGCUUAAACAUACGGGAUGCAUGCGCGCACGCUAACACGUUAGCUUGAAGCAUACGGUAGCAUGCCAAGACAUACGGAUACACGCUAAAACACGUUUUUAAAAAGGCAACGAAAGCAGAACUGAGUUCGGGUGUAUUUUAUUUACAAGGUACUCACGUUUUUUGCUCAAUCAUCACUCAGAAAGCCAUCAAAGUCCUCA